GAAGAAAUUAAUUUGUUAUCGACCAAUUCAUUCAAAGAACUCAAUAAAACCGCAGUUUAGUUGCUAAAACGUCCUCUGUCUACAUUCUACACUAUACAAAAUUAACAUUUGUGUUUUUAUUCUUUAAAUUCGCUGGCACCCCCAUAAAAGUCCAAAGGAUUCAAAGUGAAACAUGUACAGGGUUAAGAGACAAGACAAAAAAAUUCAUGCAGGAUAUAGGGCAUAUAGUAAAUACAAAAUCAUACUACAGAUAAUAAGCCAAGCAACCAAGUUUGAAGUCUACAAGACUGCAAUAAAACCAAUAGUUACAUACCUAGAAAAAACUGAGAUACUAUCUAAUAUGGACGAAGAACAACAAGAAAUAAAUGAAAAGAGAAUAAUUAGGGAAAUCAUACGAACUAUGAAUUUGCGAUGGUACAGGCACAUUAAAAGAAUGGGAAACACACAGUGGAUAAGGAAAAUUACAGAAUUGAGACUGGGAGAGCAAAGACUGCCAAGAAAACAAAAAAAUUGAUGGGAAGAUCAGAUUGUACAAGAUAUGCUAAUUUGAUAAUAUUUGGGGUGCAAUUAAUCUACAUUCAUUUGAUAUCCUUUUGUUUAGCUCCUCAAUAUUUGUGGUUUGAUUUUAAAAACAUUGCGUUUAAAGUACCCCCAUAAAAAAAGUCCAAAGGAUUGAAAUCUGGGGAUCUUCUUCUACAUUUCUAUCUUGAAAUACAGCAUCAAGACACACUAUCUUCUUGAAAUCUAUACAGGGUUGUGAAACAAGUUCUCGAAUUGCAGGAUUCAUUAUUAUAUAGUAUAUUUUAGUCCGAUUUAGAGCUAAGACAGUUACCAAAUUUAGUCCCUUGCGACCUUUCUUGAUUCCAAAAAUAAAAAAAUUAAUUUGUUUGCCAUGAUUGAAGGAAAAUAUUGAUAAAUGAACUAAACAUUAUUGAAAAAAUAUUAGUUUUUCGAUUUUUAAUGGCCACACUUCAAAACAUUCAUCAGAAUAUUUCAUUGAUAGAAGAGUUCAAAGUCAUACAAGAAAAUGCUAUCCCCAAGCAAAUUCAUUUUUAGUAAAAUAAAACAUAAAUGGAUAAAUCAUUUUUUAAGACAUUCCUUAUCUUUCAUCAGCACAUCCAUUAUAGAGAAUUUCUAGAGUAUUACUCUACUAAAAUUUCAUAAUAAUUGUAGAAUAUGUAAAAUCAAAAACUAUCAUAAUAUACCAAAAAUGUUUUGGAAAUUUAGCUGGGAAAUUAGCUCAUUAGUAAACAGUUUAAAAUGUUUCAGAUACUUUAAAAUUGUUAUAACGAAAUUUUUUUAUAUACGUAUCUACUACUUAUAUCCUGAAGAGUGAGAUAAAUUUAAUUAUUAGGUAUAUUAUCUUACCUCUAAUUUAUUUACACUUCACUAUACACUAGUACUUUAUUUAUAUUUUCAAUACACUAUUCACUAGUGUAUAUUCACUGAACGCGGUUCGAAUUCCCGUUUUUUGUACCUGUUUAAUUACUAAUCAUAAUGGAUAUCGUUAUGUAUUGUCUUGAAGAAACUACGCACAUAAAAAUUAUAAAUAAUUAUCACAAUAACAUUGUAAAACUUAGUUCUACAAAAGUAGGAUUCAAUUCUUGUAGUUUAACUCAUAUUCCGGCAGUUUUUAAUAAAGUUCUAAUUUAAUUUGUAUACUUAUAAAUAA